rnacentral:lncRNA from 1 species
CCCCUCUCUCCUCCAAAAAAUCCCACUGAAUGAUUUUAUGACACAUUACACAGAUUACAGAGUAAAUUAUGCUUUGUUACAUGACACUUCACCACUGAGUCCAACAAGAGUAGGAUCAAACCUUGUCUUCUUUUAAAUAGUUAGGGUAGUCUUGUAUAUCUGCCAGUGUUUGUCCUGCACUUGAUGAUCCAGUCUGCUAUGGUGAAUCCCAUGCUCAUGCUGCAUUGGUAUGCUUUUUGUAAUUGUUGAGAAAUACAUCAUUUUACAAAAUCUGACAAAGGUGUUAGUGCCUGCCAAUAUGAUUGCAUUGUCUUACUAAAACCCAUGGAGUUACUCUCACCAUAUAACGUCCAACACUUUUGUGACCUAUGUGUGUCUUAUUCAUUGAUGAAUACAACAGCUGCAGACAGCCUGCAAGCAGAAACUCAACUGAAUGUAAAUACAGGAACAAUUUAUAGAAAAAUCAUUGCUUUAAAAUUCACAGAUCCAAGUACACACCUUGCACAAAUCCGUCAAACGAGCCAAUCAGGUUUUGUUAAUGUCCAGAACUAAUAAUCAUUGUCUCCAAACACAACAAGAGUAUUUUGCACUCUCUGAUGGAAAUCAGUGAUACAGAACUACUGCUAAUAUCAUACUACAACAUCUAUAUAUUGCAACUUACCUUGCUGUUAUUUUCCUCGUAUAAAAUAUGCAUUCCUAAUAGAAUGAUUCUCUGGUGAAUUAUUUUCUAAUGUGCAAACUAUCUUGUAAUGUAAAUGCUUUUUCUCUUGCUAUAAGCAGUGCUGUUUUUUGUUGUUGUUGUUGUUUGUUUUGGUUUGUUUUGUUUUUUUUUUGUUUUUUGUUUUGUUUUUUUUUUUUUUAAUAGAAAUACUCUGGAGUCCUAGCGUAGUCCAUUAUUUUUUGAGACACUUAUUUUGAAAAUGUCCCUAUAGAUUGCCCUGUCUAACAAAUGUCUUUAUUUGCUUUGCCCUUAGUACUUGAAAGUCAUUUUUUCCUUGGCAUUUUGAAUAACAAGUUCUGUGAGAUAAAGCACAGUGAAGAUCUUUUGGAGAAGCAUCUGGAAUUCAUCCGUGUAAAGAAACACCUGGCAAUGCCCAUAGGGACUCAGAUGAGAAGGCAGCUGGACCAGAAGGUGAGAAAUCCACACGAAUUUCAGCCUCAACUCUCAGUGGUGUCACACAGCAAUGUGGAAAAUAACUGCUCCAAAUCCCGGGACAACAGUGCACAGAAAGGUGCAUGUAUUUGCUAGGAAAUUGACUGGGUCCCCAGAGGGUUUGAUUCUUGAAUGCAUAUCUAAUAGAUAUAUCCCUUAUAGAUCAUAACCUCUCUGUACCUGCACAGCACAAUUAAUAUGCAUGAAAUUCAUUAUGCUUUAGGGGAGUAGUUCUCAGUCUGCAGC